CUUCUGUGAUCAAGGUUCGCAAGCGCCGUCGUGUCCGAUGACAGGCACACCCCUGUAGCACCUGAUUUGCGAUGUGCGUGGGGGUGAGCAUUACCAAAGCGGUCACGUGGAAAGCACCUUGUCAUUUGCGUGGUUCAGAAGGUAGCGCCGUGCUGACUGCUUUAGGCGGGCAUGCUCCCAUAUACUGGGGGAGCGAGGCCUCAUAACCGAUAUUCCACCUCGUGAAAGCGGCGACCUGCAGCGGCAUUUUAUGAAAAUGCGCUAUAGCAGCCUCGCCCUUCACGCCGCCGCCGCGGUCGGGUCGCAUUCAGCUGUCGGCCAAGCCUGUCUCGCGCUCACCGCACAACGUCCCUGAAACUCGGCGUUGCCACGAACGUCGGUUCAGGCACUGGCAGAGACCUCCCUUACCUCGCUGCUCAAUGAUGGGACGUUGCCGGCUUCCACGCCCACGCUCACUUUGUCGGCGACCACCAAAGCCUUGUGAACUCACAAGGACGUAACCGCCCGUGUGAGAGGUUUCGUCGCUGACGCACGCGCACCAUUACUGUGACUUGCUGCCUGCUCUCACCCAG
rnacentral:misc_RNA from 1 species